GACGAACGCUGGCGGCGUGCUUAACACAUGCGAGUCGAACGGAAAGGCCCUGCUUUUGUGGGGUGCUCGAGUGGCGAACGGGUGAGUAACACGUGAGUAACCUGCCCUUGACUUUGGGAUAACUUCAGGAAACUGGGGCUAAUACCGGAUAGGAGCUCCUGCUGCAUGGUGGGGGUUGGAAAGUUUCGGCGGUUGGGGAUGGACUCGCGGCUUAUCAGCUUGUUGGUGGGGUAGUGGCUUACCAAGGCUUUGACGGGUAGCCGGCCUGAGAGGGUGACCGGCCACAUUGGGACUGAGAUACGGCCCAGACUCCUACGGGAGGCAGCAGUGGGGAAUAUUGCACAAUGGGCGGAAGCCUGAUGCAGCAACGCCGCGUGCGGGAUGACGGUCUUCGGGUUGUAAACCGCUUUCGCCUGUGACGAAGCGUGAGUGACGGUAAUGGGUAAAGAAGCACCGGCUAACUACGUG
rnacentral:rRNA from 1 species